GCAUUGUGGUAUGCNCUCAACGAGUCGAGUUGUUUGGGAAUGCAGCUCAAAAUGGGUGGUAAAUUCCAUCUAAAGCUAAAUAUUGGCGAGAGACCGAUAGCGAACAAGUACCGUGAGGGAAAGAUGAAAAGAACUUUGGAAAGAGAGUUAAACAGUACGUGAAAUUGCUGAAAGGGAAACGCUUGAAGUCAGUCGCGUCUGCUGGGAAUCAGCCUCGCUUUUGCGUGGUGUACUUUCUGGUUUGACGGGUCAGCAUCAAUUUUGACCACUGGAAAAAGUUGGGAGGAAUGUGGCAGCUCCGGCUGUGUUAUAGCCUCUCAUCGUAUACAGUGGUUGGGAUUGAGGAACGCAGCACGCCGCAAGGCCGGGUCUUCGGACUACGUUCGUGCUUAGGAUGCUGGCAUAAUGGCUUUAAGCGACCCGUCUUGAAACACGGACCAAGGAGUCUAACAUGCCUGCGAGUGUUUGGGUGGAAAACUCGAGCGCGCAAUGAAAGUGAAAGUUGAGAUCCCUGUCGUGGGGAGCAUCGACGCCCGGACCAGAACUUUUGGGACGGAUCCGCGGUAGAGCAUGUAUGUUGGGACCCGAAAGAUGGUGAACUAUGCCUGAAUAGGGUGAAGCCAGAGGAAACUCUGGUGGAGGCUCGUAGCGGUUCUGACGUGCAAAUCGAUCGU
rnacentral:rRNA from 1 species